UGUCCCGGUUUAAGCGUGUAGGUGUGUGUUCCAGGUAAAUCCGGUUCACUUUAACACUGAGGCGUGACGACGAGGCACUACGGUGCUGAAGCAACAAAUGCCCUGCUUCCAGGAAAAGCCUCUAAGCAUCAGGUAACACGAAAUCGUACCCCAAACCGACACAGGUGGUCAGGUAGAGAAUACCAAGGCGCUUGAGAGAACUCGGGUGAAGGAACUAGGCAAAAUGGUGCCGUAACUUCGGGAGAAGGCACGCUGACACGUAGGUGAAGUGAUUUACUCAUGGAGCUGAAGUCAGUCGAAGAUACCAGCUGGCUGCAACUGUUUAUUAAAAACACAGCACUGUGCAAACACGAAAGUGGACGUAUACGGUGUGACGCCUGCCCGGUGCCGGAAGGUUAAUUGAUGGGGUCAGCGUAAGCGAAGCUCCUGAUCGAAGCCCCGGUAAACGGCGGCCGUAACUAUAACGGUCCUAAGGUAGCGAAAUUCCUUGUCGGGUAAGUUCCGACCUGCACGAAUGGCGUAAUGAUGGCCAGGCUGUCUCCACCCGAGACUCAGUGAAAUUGAACUCGCUGUGAAGAUGCAGUGUACCCGCGGCAAGACGGAAAGACCCCGUGAACCUUUACUAUAGCUUGACACUGAACAUUGAGCCUUGAUGUGUAGGAUAGGUGGGAGGCUUUGAAGUGUGGACGCCAGUCUGCAUGGAGCCGACCUUGAAAUACCACCCUUUAAUGUUUGAUGUUCUAACGUGGACCCGUAAUCCGGGUUGCGGACAGUGUCUGGUGGGUAGUUUGACUGGGGCGGUCUCCUCCUAAAGAGUAACGGAGGAGCACGAAGGUUGGCUAAUCCUGGUCGGACAUCAGGAGGUUAGUGCAAUGGCAUAAGCCAGCUUGACUGCGAGCGUGACGGCGCGAGCAGGUGCGAAAGCAGGUCAUAGUGAUCCGGUGGUUCUGAAUGGAAGGGCCAUCGCUCAACGGAUAAAAGGUACUCCGGGGAUAACAGGCUGAUACCGCCCAAGAGUUCAUAUCGACGGCGGUGUUUGGCACCUCGAUGUCGGCUCAUCACAUCCUGGGGCUGAAGUAGGUCCCAAGGGUAUGGCUGUUCGCCAUUUAAAGUGGUACGCGAGCUGGGUUUAGAACGUCGUGAGACAGUUCGGUCCCUAUCUGCCGUGGGCGCUGGAGAACUGAGGGGGGCUGCUCCUAGUACGAGAGGACCGGAGUGGACGCAUCACUGGUGUUCGGGUUGUCAUGCCAAUGGCACUGCCCGGUAGCUAAAUGCGGAAGAGAUAAGUGCUGAAAGCAUCUAAGCACGAAACUUGCCCCGA
rnacentral:rRNA from 1 species